rnacentral:rRNA from 1 species
GACGAACGCUAGCGGCAGGCCUAAUACAUGCAAGUUGAGCGCUGAAGGUUGUUACGUGUACCAACUGGAGGAUCAGCGAACGUGUGAGUAACGCAUGGGGCAUCUGCCUGGGAGCUGGGGUCAAGAUUUGGAAGCGAAUGCUAAUACCUCAUAAAAACUUUAAACACUAAUUUUAAGUUUUCAAGAUGCAAUUGCAUCACUCACAGAUGAUCCCGCGUUGUAUUAGUUAGUGGGUGAGGUAAAGGCUGACCAAGGCGAAGAUACAUAGCUGACAUGAGAGGGAGAUCGGGAACAUUGGGACUGAGACACGGCCACAGACCCGACGGGAGGCAGCAGCAGGGGAUCUUAGGAAAUGGAAGAAAGUGUGACCCAGCACCGGCGCGUGCGCGAAGAAGGCUUUCGGAUCGUAAAACUCUGUUGGUAGAGAAGUAGGUUGGUGAGAGUCGAAAGCUGAUCAACUGACGGUAACUAACGAGAAAGGGACGGCUAACUCCGUG